GACGAACGCUGGCGGCGUGCUUAACACAUGCAAGUCGAACGAAGUGGCGAACGGGUGAGUAACACGUGAGUAACCUGCCCUCUUCUUUGGGAUAACGGUAGGAAACGGCUGCUAAAACUGGAUAGUGGGGGAUGGGCGCGCGGCCUAUUAGCUUGUUGGGGGGGUGGUGGCCUACCAAGGGCUUGGCGGGUAACCGGCCUGAGAGGGUGACCGGUCACAUUGGGACUGGGAUACGGCCCAGACUCCGACGGGAGGCAGGAGUGGGGAAGUUUGCACAAUGGGCGCAAGCAUGAUGCAGCGACGUCGCGUGAGGGAUGACGGCCUGCGGGUUGUAAACCUUUUUCGGUCAUGGUCCGGUAGUGGGUAAAGAAGCGCCGGCUAACUACGUGCCAGCAGCCGCGGUAAUAC
rnacentral:rRNA from 1 species